rnacentral:lncRNA from 1 species
AUAUUAAUAGAUUUUAAAAAAAUAAGGGCAUAUUAAGAGCAUAUAUCAGGAUUUUUAAACGCAUAAGUACAUACAUAUUUCGGUAGUUUUUAGUGCAUAAACUUCCAGGCCCUAGUAAUAAGAUACUUGUUUAGAUUUGGUUUUUUAUUUGAAAGAUAAAACUAUCGUUAAUUGUCUAAUAUAAUGGAUUAAAUAUAUAAUUAUUUUUUUAGUAUUAUACGUUAUAGACUGUUUAGCGUACUCUAUACUAUAGAGUAUUAUUUGUUGAUGUUAGUGGUUUAUUUAAUCAUUUUAUUAAAUUACUAAAUAUAAAAUAUUAUUGUUACUAUGCAAAUACCGUAAAAUAACUUGUCCGUGAGUAAUACAUUUAGAAUUCAAAUCAACCGCCAAGAUAAAGUCAUUGUACGGUACAAAGAAUUAUACACAAUAUUUAUUUUUUCCUCAAAUUGGUGGUAACACUGGGUGCGAUUUAGCUCAAAUGACGGUACUCCCGUAAGAGCCCGUGUAAUUUCUUAUCAGUGAUUUAAUCUAUUCUGUUGUACGGGUGCGUUAUCGUCACUAUCGGCGGCACGUGUCGCGGUCCGGAGACUCGUCCGUAUCACGGUUCCGAAGUCGUUUCGCGGACCGGCAAUUAGUUGACGGUGGCACGGUAUGUGUUUAUUUCGGUAAAGAUACGUUUGAUAUGCCGCGUUUCACGAUGCAUUUGGCGACGCUUACGUAAUUGUACUUCCUAAUAUUACUGCGUGUCAUGACACCGGUUUUUCGCGCUCGCGUGCUGCAAUAUCUCCGCUGCUUGUUGGGGAUUCGGCGAGUGUUGGCGAUACGGAUAAACAUAGCGUACGGGUUUUUCCCUAACCUCGCUCUGCCUCGUUAUACUUUCCUAUACGCUCCGUAAUGGAAGUGAAGCAAAUCGUGGUUUAAAAGCUAACGAAAAAAGUAUCUUACCUUGCCUUGUCACGUUUUUGACCGGGAGGAAUUCCUCUGCGGGGAGCCAAUGUAGUCGUGAGCCGGGGUGAAGUGGCAAAACGUACAGUAUAAAAAAAAAUGUUAUAAUGAUAAUAAAAAAAUUAAAGGAAAAAUGAUGUAUGCGUAUAAAAUAUGAAGGUACCCGCGUACGCGGUUGGAAAAAAACAGACCAGAACGGAUCGGUUGCCGCGCGGACGUUGUCACGAGCGUUCGCGUCCCCUGAUCGUUUAUGAAUGGGGGAGGAGUGUCGCGGCGGCGUUUCGUGCCGCGGUCUGGUGGUCGAUGAGAGAGAUAAAGGCACGGUCGGCGACAAACAUUUCGAUAAUGGCUGCCGCAUAAGACCGCGUCUAAGUAGUAGUUGAGUUAUACGUGGUAUAAAGUCAGCCGGCGUAAUCGAUUUUUGAAAAAAUUCACUAAAAAUCUAAUUCCCAAAGUAACUAAUAUUGUCAAACAAUAAACAAAAAACAAGGUGAAUAGAAUGAUGGUAGACGAAAAUUAUAAAGUUGUAGUUCAAGUAUACGUUAAACGAAUAAUUUUUAUUCGUAUGAAAUAUUUUAAUUCAAAUAUGAUUUUUUUUUUUUUUU